AGGUACCCAGAUAGUCAACAACCAAUAAUUGAGAUAUAUGGAAAUUAAGAACUUCUGUUCAACACAAGUCACCAUUUACAGAAUGAGAGGUAGGAAAAAGACCCCAACUUCAUUUCAUGCACUGUGGCCACCAACUCACCUGGACUCUGGCGCUCAGGAGUGUUGUGAGUAAUCUACGUCUUAGGACCAGCGGCACAUCAAGAACAGAUUCUCCAGCAACAAGGGAAAGCACCUGACCUGGGAUAUGGAGAAGCUGGAAGAGGAGAUAGGAGGGAACUGGAUCCAGCUCCAGACCCAUAUGCUGCCCCACUCCAACAAGGUGGGCCAACAAUAUGCAGAAACUCGAAGAGGUCUUAUGGGAUGUCUGCAGUUACAUCAGAAAGGAGCCGGAUGACCCGGGCCCUGUGUUUUUACCUUCCUAGAACUGAUUUCAUUCCUGGUGAUGAAGAAAUCAGACACCAGUCAAGUGAUAUUGAGAUAGAAAAUCAACUUGCACAUCGCAAACAUCCAAGAACCUUCUGAAUGCCAGAGCUGUGCCAGGAGCUGGUAGUUAAACUGUCCCUUUACCUGACGUGCUCACAGCCGGAGGCGCAGACUUAACCCAAGAGCUGCAGGUCAGGUUAGUCUGGAUUGACUGCUGCAGACCCAGAGGAAGGAAGGCUGUGUUUUACCAGAGCACCUAAAGUCCACAGGCGGCACUGUGUGUGGAGGCUGGUCUACCGGCUCCCCACGCAUCAAUUCAACACAAAUUGGUGGGGCAACAAA